rnacentral:rRNA from 1 species
AUUGAACGCUGGCGGCAGGCCUAACACAUGCAAGUCGAGCGAGCGGCGGACGGGUGAGUAAUGUAUGGGGACUGCCCGAUAGAGGGGGAUAACUACUGGAAACCGUGGCUAACACCGCAUACUAUCGGCUAACCCAUUUGGGAUUAGCUAGUAGGUGGGGUAACGGCUCACCUAGGCGACGAUCUCUAGCUGGUCUGAGAGGAUGAUCAGCAACACAGGGACUGAGAGAAGGGCAAGACUCCUACGGGGGCAGCAGUGGGGAAUAUUGAUCCAUGGACGCAAAGCUGACGCAGCCAGCCCGCUUGUAUUAAGAAGGCCUUAGGGUUGUAAAGUACUUUCAGCGGGGAGGCGUUACCCGCAGAAGAAGCACCGGCUAACUCCGUGCCAGCAGCCGCGGUAAUUC